rnacentral:rRNA from 1 species
GAUGAACGCUGGCGGCGUGCUUAACACAUGCAAGUCGAACGAUGAAGCCCAGCUUGCUGGGUGGAUUAGUGGCGAACGGGUGAGUAACACGUGAGUAACCUGCCCUUAACUCUGGGAUAAGCCUGGGAAACUGGGUCUAAUACCGGAUAGGAGCGUCCACCGCAUGGUGGGUGUUGGAAAGAUUUAUCGGUUUUGGAUGGACUCGCGGCCUAUCAGCUUGUUGGUGAGGUAAUGGCUCACCAAGGCGACGACGGGUAGCCGGCCUGAGAGGGUGACCGGCAACACUGGGACUGAGAAACGGCCAAGACUCCUACGGGAGGCAGCAGUGGGGAAUAUUGCACAAUGGGCGCAAGCCUGAUGCAGCGACGCCGCGUGAGGGAUGACGGCCUUCGGGUUGUAAACCUCUUUCAGUAGGGAAGAAGCGAAAGUGACGGUACCUGCAGAAGAAGCACCGGCUAACUACGUG